UACGUAGGGUGCAGGCGUUAAUCGGAAUUACUGGGCGUAAAGCGUGCGCAGGCGGCUUGCUAAGACAGGUGUGAAAGCCCCGAGCUUAACUUGGGAAUGGCGCUUGUGACUGGCAGGCUGGAGUGUGGCAGAGGGAGGUGGAAUUCCACGUGUAGCAGUGAAAUGCGUAGAGAUGUGGAGGAACACCGAUGGCGAAGGCAGCCUCCUGGGCCAACACUGACGCUCAUGCACGAAAGCGUGGGGAGCAAACAGG
rnacentral:rRNA from 1 species